AACGAACGCUGGCGGCAUGCCUAACACAUGCAAGUCGAACGAGACCUUCGGGUCUAGUGGCGCACGGGUGCGUAACGCGUGGGAACCUGCCCUUAGGUUCGGAAUAACUCCCCGACAGGGGUGCUAAUACCGGAUAAUGUCUUCGGACCAAAGAUUUAUCGCCUUUGGAUGGGCCCGCGUUGGAUUAGCUAGUUGGUAGGGUAAAAGCCUACCAAGGCGACGAUCCAUAGCUGGUCUGAGAGGAUGAUCAGCCACACUGGGACUGAGACACGGCCCAGACUCUUACGGGAGGCAGCAGUGGGGAAUAUUGGACAAUGGGCGAAAGCCUGAUCCAGCAAUGCCGCGUGAGUGAUGAAGGCCUGAGGGUUGUAAAGCUCUUUUACCCGGGAUGAUAAUGACAGUACCGGGAGAAUAAGCUCCGGCUAACUCCGUG
rnacentral:rRNA from 1 species